CCUGAGAUACCCCCACAUUCUGUAAAGGUGAACCCACUGGGGCUGGCCAGGGAAGAAGAGGAAAUUUUGUUCCAGAAGGAACUGUCUGG
rnacentral:snoRNA from 1 species